rnacentral:rRNA from 1 species
UACAGAGGGUGCGAGCGUUAAUCGGAAUUACUGGGCGUAAAGCGCACGUAGGUGGCGACGUAAGUCGGGUGUGAAAGCCCCGGGCUCAACCUGGGAAUUGCAUUCGAGACUGCAUUGCUGGAGUACGGAAGAGGAGGGCGGAAUUCCCGGUGUAGCGGUGAAAUGCGUAGAUAUCGGGAGGAACAUCAGUGGCGAAGGCGGCCCUCUGGUCCAGUACUGACACUCAAGUGCGCAAGCGUGGGGAGCAUACAGU